rnacentral:sRNA from 1 species
CACGAUGACCAAAGCGGUGAAGCUGAAGCGCCGACCACCCUUGACCACCUUGGAGACGCGGUUGAUGGCGACGACCCGCUCUAGAUAGUUGCUCUUCUCGCCAUCCCGUUCACGACUGCCGCGGCCGCU